GAAUCAUACUUAAUUUUAGUUAACUUAUCAAUUCAUCAACAUGUUAUAAACAAGUUUAACAUAUUUACAAUCUUGUUAUGAGACAAUUAUGAGCAAUUUAACAUGUUUAUAUCCUACUUAACUGAAAGAUAUAAUUUACAUGUAAUAAAUAUAAUAAAUUUAAGAGUGUAUUCUUAUAUAGGUCAUUAUCAUGUUAUUUUCGGGUUAUGAGUGUCAACUCGAAAAUUACCAUGUUUCAUAAACGAGUUACUUGUGUCAACCUGAAAAGUGACCCAAACUCAUUUAAGCAAACUCAAAUCUGUUUAUUUAGUGCAAGUUUCGCGUAGUAUUAUUGUGUCUGACCCAGAUUGCCACCCCUAGACAUUUGGAUCUAUUAUAUGGAUGUUAAACAUUUUCAUUGUGUUAUUUUUUGUUAUUUUUAUCUUCAAUAAUAGUGUUACAACACACUACUACAAUUAGGGGUGAGCAUGGGUUGGAAAUGGGCCGACCAAACCCGAAAUGGGCCGAAACAUGGUCACAUUUAGUGGGCCGAACCUCACAUGGGUUGAAAAGAGCCCAACCCGCACUGAAUGGGUUGAUCAUCGGGCUGAGGGUUUUUCAACCCAAUCAACCCAAACUGGGCCGAGCAGCCCAACUAAAAAUAAUAAAAAAAAAAUAUUUAAUAUAUAUAUAAUAUUUAACCUACAUCUAAAAUACAAACCCUAAACCUAAUACAACAACAUAACCCUUCCUCUCUCUAGUUUCUCCUUUCUUUCUCCAACUCCAAACACAGCCGCCCGUCAAUCAACCAUUUUUUUUGUUUUGAAAAAUAAAAACUCAAACCUCCAUAGCUAUGUUCUCUCUUACUCAGUCACUCACACGCUCAUCUCCCUGCCCCAUCGUCGUCAUCGAGGCUCCAAUUCCAACAAUGUUCUCCCACCCUAGCCGCACCAGUCCCACCAUUCAAAUCUCCAACUGCGCCAGCCACCCGCACCAGGAACCACCACCGUUCAACUCUCCACAUGCCAGCCGCACCUACUAAGUUUACAACUUUCGGCUAGGCAUUGGAGUUUCUUAUUCUCAGGUGUCGGAGUUUGUUGUUUUUGGUGACCAUAAACUCAGGCAAUAAAGAAAAGAUCAAAGCAUCACCAAAAGUGAAGAAUAUUGUCAUUCUUAAUUGAUGUUGAACAUUGAUUUUUUUUUUAAGUUGGUAAUUAUUUUGGACAAUUUAAUUAAUUUUAAUACUUAUUUUGAAUUUGGAUGAUUGUAAUAAUUAUUAUUUAUUUUUGAUUAUUUUAUGAUUUUACCUUAA